GACGAACGCUGGCGGCGUGCUUAACACAUGCAAGUCGAACGGAAAGGCCCUGCUUUUGUGGGGUGCUCGAGUGGCGAACGGGUGAGUAACACGUGAGUAACCUGCCCUUGACUUUGGGAUAACUUCAGGAAACUGGGGCUAAUACCGGAUAGGAGCUCCUGCUGCAUGGUGGGGGUUGGAAAGUUUCGGCGGUUGGGGAUGGACUCGCGGCUUAUCAGCUUGUUGGUGGGGUAGUGGCUUACCAAGGCUUUGACGGGUAGCCGGCCUGAGAGGGUGACCGGCCACAUUGGGACUGAGAUACGGCCCAGACUCCUACGGGAGGCAGCAGUGGGGAAUAUUGCACAAUGGGCGGAAGCCUGAUGCAACAACGCCGCGUGCGGGAUGACGGCCUUCGGGUUGUAAACCGCUUUCGCGUGUGACGAAGCGUGAGUGACGGUAAUGGGUAAAGAAGCACCGGCUAACUACGUG
rnacentral:rRNA from 1 species